CAUGGUAGUUUGACUCCGUGGCUCAGAUUAGAACGCUGGCGGAAUGCUUUACACAUGCAAGUCGAACGGUAGAGGGGGCAACCCCUCGAGAGUGGCGAACGGGUGAGUAAUAUAUCGGAACGUGCCCAGUCGUGGGGGAUAACGUAGCGAAAGUUACGCUAAUACCGGCAUACGAUCUAAGGAUGAAAGCGGGGAUCGCAAGACCUCGCGCGAUUGGAGCGGCCGAUAUCAGAUUAGC
rnacentral:rRNA from 1 species